GCACAGUCGGUAGAGCAUGGGACUCUUAAUCCCAGGGUCGUGGGUUCGAGUCACAU
rnacentral:tRNA from 1 species